rnacentral:rRNA from 1 species
GACGAACGCUGGCGGCGUGCCUAAUACAUGCAAGUAGAACGCUGAAGGAAGGAGCUUGCUCUUUCUGGAUGAGUUGCGAACGGGUGAGUAACGCGUAGGUAACCUGCCUGGUAGCGGGGGAUAACUAUUGGAAACGAUAGCUAAUACCGCAUAAAAUUGAUUAUUGCAUGAUAGUCAAUUAAAAGGUGCAACUGCACCACUACCAGAUGGACCUGCGUUGUAUUAGCUAGUUGGUGGGGUAACGGCUCACCAAGGCGACGAUACAUAGCCGACCUGAGAGGGUGAUCGGCAACACUGGGACUGAGACACGGCCAAGACUCCUAGGGGAGGCAGCAGUAGGGAAUCUUCGGAAAUGGACGGAAGUCUGACCGAGAAACGCGGCGUGAGUGAAGAAGGUUUUCGGAUCGUAAAGCUCUGUUGUAAGAGAAGAACGAGUGUGAGAGUGGAAAGUUCACACUGUGACGGUAUAUUAAGAGAAAGGGACGGCUAACUACG